UACAGAGGGUGCGAGCGUUGUUCGGAAUUAUUGGGCGUAAAGGGCGCGUAGGCGGUGCGGUAAGUCACCUGUGAAAUCUCCUGGCUCAACUGGGAGCUUGCAGGCGAAACUGCCGUGCUGGAGUGUGGGAGAGGUGCGUGGAAUUCCCGGUGUAGCGGUGAGAUGCGUAGAUAUCAGGAAGAACACCCGUGGCUAAGGCGGCUCUCUAGUACGGUACUGACGCUGAGACGCGAAAGCGUGGGGAGCGAACAGG
rnacentral:rRNA from 1 species